rnacentral:rRNA from 1 species
CAACUUGAGAGUUUGAUCCUGGCUCAGAACGAACGCUGGCGGCAUGCUUUAUACAUGCAAGUCGAACGGAAACUAUGUUCGCAUAGUUUUAGUGGCAAACGGGUGAGUAAUACAUGGGAAUCUGCCAUAUGGAGGGGGAUAGUUGUUGGAAACGACAGGUAAUACCGCAUAAUCUUCUUAGGAAGUAAAGGCUUCGGCCACCAUUUGAGGAGCCCAUGUCGGAUUAGAUAGUUGGUGAGGUAAUGGCUCACCAAGUCUGUGAUCCGUAGCUGGUCUUAGAGGAUGAUCAGCCACACUGGGAUUGAGAUACGGCCCAGACUCCUACGGGAGGCAGCAGUAGGGAAUAUUGGACAAUGGGGGAAACCCUGAUCCAGCAAUGCCGCGUGAAUGAUGAAGGUUUUAGAAUUGUAAAGUUCUUUUGCUCGCAAUGACGAUGACAGUAGCGAGAGAAGAAGCUCCGGCAAACUUCGUGCCAGCAGCCGCGGUAAUACGAAGGGAGCAAGCGUUGUUCGGAUUGACUGGGCGUAAAGGGUGCGUAGGCUGCUGAUUAAGUGAAAUGUGAAAGCCCUGGGCUUAACCUAGGAAGUGCAUUUUAUACUGGUCGGCUAGAGGACAGUAGAGGAAGUAGGAAUUUCUGAUGGAGAGGUGAAAUUCAUAGAUAUCAGAAGGAACACCAAAAGCGAAGGCAAGCUUCUGGGCUGUACCUGACGUUGAGGCACGAAAGCGUGGGUAGCAAACAGGAUUAGAUACCCUGGUAGUCCACGCCCUAAACGAUGAGUGCUAAAUGUUGGAGGUUAAAAUCUUCAGUGUUAAAGCUAACGCGUUAAGCACUCCGCCUGGGGAUUACGGUCGCAAGACUAAAACUCAAAGGAAUUGACGGGAACCCGCACAAGCGGCGGAGCAUGUGGUUUAAUUCGAUGUUCCGCGCAAACCUUACCAGCCUUUGAAUGCAAGUUUUAAAUUUGUGAAAGCAAAUUUUUCAGUUUAGCUGGGCUUGCACAGGUGCUGCAUGGCUGUCGUCAGCUCGUGUCGUGAGAUGUUGGGUUAAGUCCCGCAACGAGCGCAACCCUUGUCGUUAUUUGCCAAUAGACUUUGUCUAGGAACUUUAACGAGACUGCCGAUGUUAAGUCGGAGGAAGGUGGGGAUGACGUCAAGUCCUCAUGGCCUUUAUAGGCUGGGCUACACAUGUGCUACAAUGGCAACUACAAUGAGAUGCAAUAGGGUGACCUGGAGCAAAUCUAUAAAAGUUGUCUCAGUUCGGAUUACAGUCUGCAACUCGACUGUAUGAAGCCGGAGUCGCUAGUAAUCGUCAAUACAGUACGUGACGGUGAAUACGUUACGGGUUUUGUACACACUGCCCGUCAAGCCACGGGAGUUGAUUCUGCUUUAAAGUGGUUAUCUAACCGCAAGGAAGAAGCCAAAUAUGGCAGAAUUAGCAACUGGGGUUAAGUCGUAACAAGGUAGCCGUAGGAGAACCUGCGGCUGGAUCACCUCCUUUCUAGG